rfam:Homo sapiens chromosome 12, GRCh38 reference primary assembly.
GCCGGGCAUGGCGGCGCACGUCUGUAAUCCCAGCUACUCGGGAGGCUGAGGCAGGAGAAUCGCUUGAACCCGGGAGGCGGAGGUUGCAGUGAGCUGAGAUCUCGCCACUGCACUCCAGCCUGGGUGACAGAGCGAGACUCUGUCUCAA